GUCACUAAGCUCGCAGCAGCAUGGACAGGCAGGCCCUGUUUAAUCGCACAAUGAGUUGCAGUGAAUUUUCCCAGUUGUACUGAGCACUGAGGUGGAAAAGCACAGGCCAUCGUGAGAACAGAACAGGAGACUCUGAGAAGGCUCCUCUGAGUAAAUGACAUUGAAACUGAGACCCGCAGUCCUAGCAAGGAGCAGGAGGCAGGGAAACAGUCCUGGCUGACAGCCCAAGUGCAACUGUGAAGUGGGUGGGGAGGAGCCCAGCCGGAUAAGGAACGUGGACUGCCUUCUAAGUGAAACCAGAAGCUAUUAUGAGGUUUUGAGCAGAAGCAUGAUGAGAUCUGGGGUACUGGGCAAAGAGAAGAAAGGAGUUGGGCCUACAGACCUGGUAAUCCGAAGCUGCUGAUGGCAGAAGAUAACCGCUGCUUCCACAUGGAGAUGAUUUAAUUGCAUCCCAAGCAGAGAAAUGUGAUGUUACGGUGAA